CCUGGAGGGCUGACAAGGCUGAGUCUGGAGAGUGAGGCUCAGGUGACAGUGACCUCCUAAAAGAAAAGGGAUGGAGAGAGCAGUCCUGCCUGCAGGAAGAGCCCAGGGCUCACUGUGCCAUCUGACACCA